GGCCGGUUAGCUCAAGUGGUUAGAGCGUAGCGCUCUUAACACCAAGGUUGUCGGUUCAAUCCCCACAUGGGCCA